UGCGCAGGCGGCCUGGUAAAUCAGGGGUGAAAUAUGACGGCUUAACCGUCAAACUGCCCCUGAAACUGUCAGGCUUGAGUCCGGGAGAGGAAGGUGGAAUUCCAGGUGUAGCGGUGAAAUGCGUAAAUAUCUGGAGGAACACCGGUGGCGAAGGCGGCCUUCUGGCCCGGAACUGACGCUCAGGCACGAAAGCUAGGGGAGCGAACAGGAUUAGAUACCCUGGUAGUC
rnacentral:rRNA from 1 species